AUACGAAUCUAGCCCGGGAACCGAGUUGCGGGAGUGCGGUCUGUGCCGUUCCGGCCAGGAGUUUGCCGACUGCAGACGUCCUGCGAACCGGCAAGAUGUGCUCUAUGGGGUUGUUCCCUCCUCCACCGCCUCGGGGUCAAGUCACCCUAUAUGAGCACAAUAACGAGCUGGUGACGGGCAGUAGCUAUGAGAGCCCGCCCCCCGACUUCCGGGGCCAGUGGAUCAAUCUUCCUGUCCUACAACUGACCAAGGAUCCCCUAAAGACCCCUGGAAGGCUGGACCAUGGCACAAGAACUGCCUUCAUCCAUCACCGGGAGCAAGUGUGGAAGAGAUGCAUCAACAUUUGGCGUGAUGUGGGCCUUUUUGGGGUGCUAAAUGAAAUUGCAAACUCAGAAGAAGAGGUGUUUGAGUGGGUGAAGACGGCAUCCGGCUGGGCCCUGGCACUCUGUCGAUGGGCCUCUUCCCUCCAUGGGUCCCUGUUCCCCCAUCUCUCUGUAAGUUUGGCUUCCUCCCCAGCCCUCUGCAUUUGCUGUGUCCCCAUCCUACUCUGCCCUCAUUCCUAUCCUUGCAGGUCAGGGUUGGGUG
rnacentral:sRNA from 1 species